rnacentral:snoRNA from 15 species
CACAAUAUAUGACGGUCCAUCCCAACUUGACCUCUCUCACCAGUUACUUGAUGAUAAUCGGAUCUGAUAUUCUG